GAGAGAGAGAGAGAGAGAGAAUGAUGCUCCCCUGUGAAUUAUGAUCUAAUAGCAUUGGCAUAAGAUUGAUUUUGCUCUUUUUGUCGUAUCUACCUCCACAAUUUUAUUUUCCGAGGUCAGUGGAGUUAAGAAUGCAAUACUGACAGUUUGAUUGUACUGUAGGAUCCGGUGUGCCUAUAUGCAUGCAUUUUCUUUGUACUUAUUUCAUCCAUAUCACCUGAAAAGUCUUAUGAUUAUUGUGGCUUAAAUUCAGUUCUUAACUGCCAUGAAUUUGCUGAUAAUUUGAAGAAGGUAGAUUAAAUAGGUUGGAAUAUCAGAGUGCCUUGUAUAUGCAGUGAGCACCCUUAUCUUUAUAAGAGCAUCACAUAGAAAUGGAUUGCAUUUCAACUUGCAGAUACAGGUUUUACAAUGAUAUUUUGUUGGAUAAUGGGGAAGGAGAGAGCUUAAUUUUAGUUUCUCAAAACAAAGCAGAAGCUAUGAAAAUUAAUAGAGCAAAAACAAGUUUAAAAAUGGAGAGAAAAACAUUAUUACAUAAAACAAGCAUAACACAAGGACAUUUUCUUUUUCUUUUUCUUCUUCAUUUUCAUCUCUCCACCUCUGCUAGCUCUCUCUCAAUUCUCCUCUAGUCCUCUCUGCACACGCAUUUUUCCAACAGCAAACUCUUCCAACAGCAAACUCUUCCUUUUUAUUUUCGUUUGUCAACAAAUGCCCAUACUUAGAUAUGGUUGUUUUCCUUUUCUUGUACACACAUAUUUUCACUGGUUAAAAUCUCUUCAACUCCAACAUAUUUAGUUGUGGAUGGGGAGGUGUAGUCUUGUUUGAGAGUGCAACAUUAUGAACUUAACAAGAGACCCACCCAUCAUCUCAAUGCCUUCAUACUUUUGGUGGUUCAGUUGCAUUUACCUUUGAGUGUGCCUAUUUUCUUUCUUCCUCCAUAAUUUUUAUUUGUGUAGCUGUACUGUCUUAUCUAAAUUCAGGUUGCACGCAAUCUAGGGAAAACUCUACGUGCAUUUCAACCAACCAUUAGAGAACUCCAGGAAGUAUCGAGGGAAUUCAAGAGCAGCCUUGAACGAGAGAUUGGUCUUGAUGACAUUUCAAGUCAAACACAAAACACAUAUAGCUCCAACAGAGCAAACAGUGCCUCACCCCCUUCACCGGUUGGCAGCCCUGAAAAUUCUUCAACUGCAGCUGACCCCAGUGAGUGAUCAAAUGUUUCUAACAUCUGCUCUUAUAUGGAAAAGCAAUUAGCCGGAUUAGAAAGUUGAACUUCAUAUUUAAUGCAUUAUAUUGUGUUUUUAAUUACCAUUUGGAUUUUCUGGAAGCUCCUAAUCCACAUUGUUUAGGUUCUCUGUUACAAAUUGCUUUGGGCAUGACCAAGCAAUUUAACAGUGAUUAUGCUAUGUUUUUCAAGAUGAGAUGUCAGUGUUAGAGUUCUUUGGCUUGAUGAUCUUUAAGCUCCAGUAUGGUAAAGCAUUCAUAACUGAGUACUUGACAGACAAAAAGGAUGAAAAGACAUUAUAAAUGGAGCUCCCUUUAAUGUCACCUUUGAAUAAAUAUAUUUCUUUACAACCAACUGCAAAAUCAACAAGCUGUCAUGUAAUAUUUUAUAAUUUCAAUAUCCUUUUGCACUGUGCCCUUUGUGCAGUUAACUGUUGCUAACCAUUGUUAAUUGAAUCCAGUUUAGUAUUUCCUUGAUUGUAUAAUCAAAGAAAUCCUUGCAUUAGGAAAUAUUGCAACAUAUGUCAGUGAUGGUGCCUUUAUGAUCCUUGUGGCCUAGUAAUUGCUUUCACGCAUAAAAUAUGACAAGUCAUUGUCAAUUAUUUUAAACUUGCAGAUGGUGCUCCAUCUCAAACUCGAGCAUAUACCAGUGAGGAUUACUUGAAAAUCACAGAAGAGCAGCUAAAAGCAUCUGCUGCACAACAGAUAGGGCAGACACCACCACCCCCACCAGGAGAAAGCCAGGUUGAAUCUCAAAGUCAAGCUACUGUUAAAAAAACUGCUGCUGCCACACCUCCGCCUCAAAAGCCAGAAAAUGAAGUAUAAGAGACUCUCAACAAAAGGUAAUGUCAGGAACUGUAAUGGUUCUCAGAUUUUACAAAGCCUGGAAUGAGUCAGCUGAGACGUAAAGCCUCAUGAAAGGAGUGUAUUUUUUUUUUUCUUCCCCUUAUUUUUGCUUCUUGCUUCUUUUUUUCUUUUUUAUAGUGCGGAGGGGGUACUCGAAAGAUGAGUCAGUUUCUUAAUGCGCUGUAUAAUACGAUUUUGUAUUGGUUGCCAAAGCUGCGAAGGAAUGUUAAAUUUCAGGGAUGAAUUUAACAAUGUCAGUAUUCGUUAUGUGAUAUUAAUGGAAGAGAGAUGAAUCAACCGGCAGAAAUGGAAGAUAAGUUACUUGGUUUUACUAUAAACGAGUUGAUAAUCAGCUUUCUAAUAGUUAUGUCAUGGCGUGGCGAAUGGCAACCAGAACACUUGGUUGUUAUCGAACUCCAAUGCUGGACACUUCAAUCAAAGAUAACAAAAUAAUGAAAAGAUUUGCAUGAUUGCCGCUGCCUUGAAAAAUAGUUGUUUUGGUGAUUCAUUGAAUUUGAAUGGGUUCGGCAAUAAUCCCGUCCCCCUUGUGGUGAUGUCGUGACGACCAUUUGCAGGCGAUCAGUUUUGGGUGUCAACAUUCUACGAGGCAUGAUCUGCUAGGAACUAACACCAUUGUUUGCCAAUUGC
rnacentral:misc_RNA from 1 species